rnacentral:piRNA from 1 species
UGCCUGUAGUGGAACAAAGUUGGGAUUGUUU